rnacentral:rRNA from 1 species
UACGUAGGGGGCGAGCGUUGUCCGGAUUUACUGGGCGUAAAGGGUGAGUAGGCGGUUAUAUAUGUCAGAUGUAAAAGGCUAUGGCUUAACCAUAGUUAGCAUUUGAAACUGUAUGACUUGAGUGCAGGAGAGGUAAGUGGAAUUCCUAGUGUAGCGGUGAAAUGCGUAGAUAUUAGGAGGAACACCAGUGGCGAAGGCGACUUACUGGACUGUAACUGACGCUGAGUCACGAAAGCGUGGGUAGCAAACAGG